rfam:Gossypium hirsutum cultivar TM-1 chromosome 13, whole genome shotgun sequence
UAGUUAUUGUUGCAUCCAUUUGUACUUUUAAAAACUGCAGUGGCUGAUAGAAGAAUCAAAUAAUAACAUAUGGCAUGUCACUUGUACCUUAUACUGAUGUAUAGAGACAAGCUUUUAAUAGUAAAAAUGAAUGAAAUUUUUAAUA